rnacentral:rRNA from 1 species
GACGAACGCUGGCGGCGUGCCUAAUACAUGCAAGUAGAACGCUGAAGGAGGAGCUUGCUUCUCUGGAUGAGUUGCGAACGGGUGAGUAACGCGUAGGUAACCUGCCUGGUAGCGGGGGAUAACUAUUGGAAACGAUAGCUAAUACCGCAUAAUAGUAGAUGUUGCAUGACAUUUGCUUAAAAGGUGCAAUUGCAUCACUACCAGAUGGACCUGCGUUGUAUUAGCUAGUUGGUGGGGUAACGGCUCACCAAGGCGACGAUACAUAGCCGACCUGAGAGGGUGAUCGGCCACACUGGGACUGAGACACGGCCCAGACUCCUACGGGAGGCAGCAGUAGGGAAUCUUCGGCAAUGGACGGAAGUCUGACCGAGCAACGCCGCGUGAGUGAAGAAGGUUUUCGGAUCGUAAAGCUCUGUUGUAAGAGAAGAACGAGUGUGAGAGUGGAAAGUUCACACUGUGACGGUAGCCUACCAGAAAGGGACGGCUAACUACGUG